rnacentral:rRNA from 2 species
UGUUUCGGCUAGGGGGCCAUCCCGGCUUACCAACCCGAUGCAAACUGCGAAUACCGGAGAAUGUUAUCACGGGAGACACACGGCGGGUGCUAACGUCCGUCGUGAAGAGGGAAACAACCCAGACCGCCAGCUAAGGUCCCAAAGUCAUGGUUAAGUGGGAAACGAUGUGGGAAGGCCCAGACAGCCAGGAUGUUGGCUUAGAAGCAGCCAUCAUUUAAAGAAAGCGUAAUAGCUCACUGGUCGAGUCGGCCUGCGCGGAAGAUGUAACGGGGCUAAACCAUGCACCGAAGCUGCGGCAGCGACGCUGAUG